rnacentral:rRNA from 1 species
AGCUCCAACAGUGUAUAUUAAAGUUGUUGCGGUUAAAAAGCUCGUAGUUGGGAGUCUGCCAAGGACGACCGGUCCACCCUUGGGGUGAGUAUCUGGCUUGACUGGGGCAUAUUCUUGGGCAGCGUGGCUGCACUUGACUGUGUGAUGCGAUAUCCAAGACGUUUACUUUGAGGAAAUAGAGUGCUUCAAGCAGGCUGUUAUGCCAGAAUAUUUGUGCAUGGAAUAAUAGAAUAGGAUGUUGAUCUUAUUUUGUUGGUUUUCGAGACUUGACAUAAUGAUUAAUAGGGACAGUCGGGGGCAUUUGUAUUUAAACGACAGAGGUGAAAGUCUUGGACCGUUUGAAGACAAACUACUGCGAAAGCAUUUGCCAAGAAUGUUU